rnacentral:lncRNA from 1 species
GGGGUCGAAUCAGAGCUGUAGCCGCCAGCCUAUGCCACAGCCACAGCAAUGCCAGAUCCAAGCCGAAUCUGUGACCUACACCACAGCUCAUGGCAACAUAGGAUCCUUAACCCACUGAGCAAGGCCAGGGAUCGAACCCACAUCAGCAUGGAUACUAGUCAGGUUUGUAACUGCUGAGCCACAACAGAACUCCUUAUUACAAGACAUUGAAUAUAGUUCCCUGUGCUGCACAUUAGUUCCCUGUUGGUUAUCUAUUUUAUAUACGGUAGUUUGUUUGUUAGUCCCAGACGCCUAAUUCAUCCCUCCACCACUGUCCCUUUUAGUAGCUCUAUGUUUGUUUUCGAUAUCUGCGAGUCUAUUUCUCUUUUGUAAAUAAGUUCAUUUGUAUCAUUUUUUUAGAUUCCACGCAUAAGUGAUAUCGUAUGAUUAUUUGUCUUUCUCAGUCUGGCUUAAUUCCCUGAGCAAGCGAGGAGAUUUGAGUGUGGAUAAAAGCAAAUGGGAAAAACUCACUGAAAGGUAUACGUAAGAACAGUGCAUUUCAGGAAUUCCUGCUGUGGUGCAGUGGGUUAAGAAUCUGACUGCAGUGGCUCAGGUCGCUGUGGAGGUGCAGGUUCAAUGCCUGGUGCAGGGGGUUAAAGGAUCCGGCAUUGCCACAGCUGCAGCAUAGGUCACAGCUGCAGCUCAGAUUCAGUCCCUGAACCAGGAACUUGCCUAUGCCUUGAGCGUGGCCAUAACAAAGAUUUUUUUUUUUAAUAAUAAUUUUUAGGGAGUCCCUGUCAUGGCACAGCGGAAACAAAUCCGACUAGGAACCUUGAGGUUGCAGGUUCGAUCCCUGGCCUCGCUCAGUGGGUUGAGGAUCCAGCGUCACCAGGAGCUGUGGUGUAGGUCGCAGACGCAGUUUGGAUCUGGUGUUGCUGUGGCUGUGGCAUAGGCCGGUGGCUACAGCUCCAAUUAGACCCCUAGCCUGGGAACCUCCGUAUGCCGUAGGAGCAGCCCUUGAAAAAAAGGCAAAAAAAAAAAAACAGGUCCUACAUGGCUUAUCAUGGGACACCCUGAAUGAGCGGCUUUCUUUCUCAUGCUGGCAAUAAAUUUGCAACCAUGCUCCCAAUUUAAGGCAAAUCCUACAGGGUGAUUAGAACAGGUUACAGGCUGAAGCCCUUUGAGCUUCCAGGCAGCUGACCCUGCCCACUGCCCUCUCUUAAAAACAGGAAGGUGGCCAGAGCUCACACCACAUGCAAGCCACCUCUUCCUACUGUCCACCUACCACCUCCUGAGCCUCUGGGAGCACAAGGGUAGGGGUCAACAGACACCAGUUCCAGCUGGGCCCUGGGUUGACCUGCUGACGUCAGUCUUCUCCUUGCAAAAUGGGGGCAAGGAUCCCACAGACCUGCCUGGUUCACUGAAAAAGUCAAAUGAGUGAGGUUGCUCAUGUAUAGAAUAUCUAGGACAGAGUUCCCGUUGUGGCUCAGUGGUAUCGAACCUGACUAGUAUCCAUGAGGACACAGGAUCCUUCCCUGGCCUCAAUCAGUGGGUUAAGGAUCUGGCAUUGUCAAGAGUUGCAGUGUGGUUUGCAGAUGUGGCUUGGAUCCCACGUUGCUGUGGCCGUGGUGUAGGCUUGCAGCUAUAGCUCCAAUUUGCCCCUUAGCCUGGGAACUUCCAUAUGCCACAGGUGUGGCCCUGAAAAGACCGGGGAAAAAAAGAUUGUUCUUUUCUGGCCAUGUGAAGGCUACAAUUCAUGCACAAGUACGCACUGUCAUAAUUCAAAGGCUACUUUAUAAUGUUCCAAAUAGCAGCAGGGCUUAGGUUUUGAAAUCGCUUUUGCUCUCCGCUCACAUCUCGAGCUGCAUAAAACGCAUCCUCUCUGCUGUGCCCGAUGCCUCGGGUCAUGUCCCUCGUCCACAUAAAAGCCCAUUUGAGAAUCAUUAUAACCCAGGCGGCUCUCAGAUUGGGGGCUGGUCACUUCUGAAGGUCCCAAGGCGGUCACAGAGAAGCGCCCCGGAGCCUCGCUUUCUUCUUUGGGCUAAAGAUCCACCUGCUGUAAUUAGCAAGAUUGGUCCUGGACCCGGCAGAGUCUGCAGCCCCAAGACCAAACGAAGCCCUUUGGCAUUCCCCAUGGGAAACGCGUCUCUUGAUUUUCUGCUCCCAGAUCUGAAAAGCCACCUUCUACGAGGUCGGUGGAAAACUCCAAUUCAUUAAUGAUUUCAACAGGAAAUUUCAAAAGGCUUGUUGACAGCCGCCAUCACCAUGGUGUAACCUUAUCCUUAUCUUUCAUUACCCCGCUUUUAUUAGGAAAAGAAAAAAGGAGUUUGUUUUCAUGGGCAUAGCCUCACAGAAGGCUUUCAUACGCAAGAAAAAUACGCAAGAUGAAAAAAGCGCACUCAUAGGAGGGACCCUGGCUGUACUUGAAAGUGCUAAGGAAACCCUCGCUCUCCGUGGAGAAGUCACAUUUUCCUCAUUACUGGUACAAGCCAGUCUCCAGGGGCUACUGGGUAGGUUCAUGGGGGGACCAGGUGUAAAAGUGCCGCCAGGAGUUCCCCCAGGGCCCAGGGGGUUAAGAAUCCAACUGCAACGUGGAGAACAGACUUGUGGUUGCCAAGGGGGGAGGGGGAGGGAAUGGGAGGGACAGGGAGUUUGUGGUUGGUAGUUGCAAACUAUUACAUUUAGAAUGGAUAAGCAGCAGUGUCCGCUGUGACGCCCUGGAAACAAAUCUGACUACAAACCAUGAGGUUGCGGGUUCGAUCCCUGGCCUCGCUCAGUGGGUUAAGGAUCCAGUAUUGCCAUGGGCUUGGUGUAGGUCACAGACGCAGCUCAGAUCCUGAGUUGCUGUGGCUCUGGCGUAGAUGGGCAGCUACAGCUCUAAUUGGACCCUUUGCCUGGGAACCUCCAUACGCCUCGGGUGUGGCCCUAAAAAGAAAAAAUGAAAAAAAAAAUCCUAAAAUCUAGAGUGGAUAAGUAAUGAAGUCCUACUCUACAGCACAGGGGACUCGAUCCAGUCUCUUGGGAUAGAACAUGAUGGAAGGUAAUAUAAGAAAAAGAAUUAUAUGUGUGUGGGACUGGGCUACUUUGCUGUACAGCAGAAAUGGGCACAACAUUGUAAUCAACUAUAAUUUUUUUUAAACUGUGGAGGCAAAGGUUCAAUCCCUGGCCCUUCACAGUGGGUUAAAGGAUCCAGAGUUGCCACAGCUGUGGUGUAGAUCCUAGUUAUGGCUCGGAUUCCAUCCCUGGCCUGGAAACUUCCAUAAACCGUGGUACGCUAUAAAAAUAAAAAACUUUUUUUAUGAGUUCCUGUUGUGGCUCAGUGGUAACGAACCCGACUAGUAACCAUGAAGACUCAGGUUCAAUCCCUGGCCUCACUCAGUGCAUUAAGCAUCCAGUGUUGCCAUGAGCUGUGACCUAGAUGGCAAAGGCAGCUUGGAUCCUGUGUUGCUGUGUCUGUGGUGUAGGCCAGCGGCUACAGCUCCGAUUCAACCCCUAGCCUGAGAACUUCCAUAUCCCACAGGUGUAGCCCUAAAAAGCAAAAUAAUAAUAAUAAUAAUAAUAAAGUGUCGCUAAUUCAAUGUCUGCAAACCACUAUAAAGUAGGGAUUUAACCUCCUACAGCUCAUCUCUGCGGCCAGUACAGACACGAAUUCCCACCCCCUCCGAUACCAACCCUUUCUUAAAGCAGGGACACUCGCAGAUAAUGUCAAUGGACUCAAGCAAUGACAGCAAACUCAAUGGGCAG